CCCCUCCACCCCCACACCUCCCCUCUGCCCUUACAGCUGAGUGAUCACAGCCUCUCCUUAGGUCCGGGUAUACUUGUUCCUCUGCGCUGCUGGAAGGUUCACCUGGGCCCAGAUGAUGACUAAAGGUCCCUUCUUCUGAGGAAAGAAGCAGGACUCAGAAACGCAAACCAAGCCUACGAAGAUGCACCCAGUUGCCCAACACUCUGCAGAGACUGGAGGCAGGCACGGCAGGCUUUCGCCAGGCGGACAAUCAGCAAUGAUCUUAACUGGGAAGACAGUGGCAAGACGGGAACACAGAGGGACUAUACCUAAAGAGGACACGUUGGCACCUUUAAAUUAAGUGAAGAAGCAAGCAGCUCUCUGAAGGACACGGACAUGUUUGACCAUGACCCCCAGGCAGAAAUGGAUUUCCAUCGUGAUCGGGGGCUCACACAUCAGCCUUACCAUCUGUGAUGUCCUGAUAGUUUUUACUCUGUCCUUUUCCUUUUCAUUUCUUUAUGUGUCAACCCACUAAAUUGAUUCUAUGACUAUGGAUCAUGGCUGAUAGCUUGAAAAGCC
rnacentral:lncRNA from 1 species